GUGAAAAAACCAGAGCAAACGAGAGUUGCUCUGUGAGCAAACGGGAGGAAACGAGAGAAAUUCAGAGAAACGAGAGAAACGCCAUUCUAGCUGUUCAGAAAUGUCACUUUUGACAUUGUUGACGUUUCUCUCCAAUCGCAUCUGAUGUCCUUCUGUUUUUUUGUCGUUUUGAUUGUGCCUUUUGAAAGUGCACAACUUUUUUAUUUGUGUGAAUAAAACAUUUUUGAAAAAGUUAAAUGGUGCUGCUUUUUCAAUUAAUUUGUCGGAAAGUCUUGCUCGACAUCCCGCUGCAUGUAAGCAUCAAGUUCUGAUCAUGCUUGGGAAUUUGGUUCCGUGCGGGAAACUUUCUUCGUACGAGGUCAUGGAACGAGGCGUAUCAUUUGCAGGAGCUACUGACUCCCUUGGACACCUGGAAAGAACUGACAUGACCGUACUAACCGAUGUACUGACCAACGACAAGGACAAGUGCACCGUUGGUCGGGGAUGAGUGAACAGAAGGCGGAAAAGGUUACCAAGACAUCGUGAUUCCGUGGUAAUAUGCUGACCGAUUAUGUUGUAUACGAAUGUAAUUAUCUACUCUUGUGUUGAUUAAUAAAAUCGGUUUUUCGAGGGGUGAGGUGGGGUUUUUGUUGAAUCCCAACCAGCUACGUCGGGAUUGAGUAGUGCGGUGCCUGUGUGGACGCACAGUCCUGUUUUUUCGUGUUAUUUUCCGUCUCUUUUGUGUCGCUGUUCGAGUGCAUGGGGUGAUUGGCUAUUAUAAUUAAAUAAUGGCAUCAGUAGUGCGGUGCCUGUGUGGACGCGCAGUCCUGUUUUUUUUUCGUGUUAUUUUCCGUCUCUUUUGUGUCGCUGUUCGAGUGCAUGGGGUGAUUGGCUAUUAUAAUUAAAUAAUGGCAUCAGUAGUGCGGUGCCUGUGUGGACGCGCAGUCCUUUUUUUUCGUGUUAUUUUCCGUCUCUUUUGUGUCGCUGUUCGAGUGCAUGGGGUGAUUGGCUAUUAUAAUUAAAUAAUGGCAUCAGUAGUGCGGUGCCUGUGUGGACGCACAGUCCUGUUUUUUCGUGUUAUUUUCCGUCUCUUUUGUGUCGCUGUUCGAGUGCAUGGGGUGAUUGGCUAUUAUAAUUAAAUAAUGGCAUCAGUAGUGCGGUGCCUGUGUGGACGCGCAGUCCUGUUUUUUCGUAUUAUUUUCCGUCUCUUUUGUGUCGCUGUUCGAGUGCAUGGGGUGAUUGGCUAUUAUAAUUAAAUAAUGGCAUCAGUAGUGCGGUGCCUGUGUGGACGCGCAGUCCUGUUUUUUCGUGUUAUGUUCCGUCUCUUUUGUGUCGCUGUUCGAGUGCAUGGGGUGAUUGGCUAUUAUAAUUAAAUAAUGGCAUCAGUAGUGCGGUGCCUGUGUGGACGCGCAGUCCUGUUUUUUCGUGUUAUUUUCCGUCUCUUUUGUGUCGCUGUUCGAGUGCAUGGGGUGAUUGGCUAUUAUAAUAAAAUAAUGGCAUCAGUAGUGCGGUGCCUGUGUGGACGCGCAGUCCUUUUUUUUUUCGUGUUAUUUUCCGUCUCUUUUGUGUCGCUGUUCGAGUGCAUGGGGUGAUUGGCUAUUAUAAUUAAAUAAUGGCAUCAGUAGUGCGGUGCCUGUGUGGACGCACAGUCCUGUUUUUUCGUGUUAUUUUCCGUCUCUUUUGUGUCGCUGUUCGAGUGCAUGGGGUGAUUGGCUAUUAUAAUUAAAUAGUGGCAUCAAUAGUGCGGUGCCUGUGUGGACGCGCAGUCCUGUUUUUUUCGUGUUAUUUUCCGUCUCUUUUGUGUCGCUGUUCGAGUGCAUGGGGUGAUUGGCUAUUAUAAUUAAAUAAUGGCAUCAGUAGUGCGGUGCCUGUGUGGACGUGCAGUCCUGUUUUUUUUACCUUCUUUUUUUUCAUUGUUUUUUUUUCCACUCGCGUUCGUUGGCCGAUGAGUUUUUUUGUGUUGUUCUCUAUUUAUAGUUUUCUAUAAAAACGUACCUAUUUUUUUUUGAGACUAGCAAGUCGUAUUGCUGGAUUAAGCCCUUUCUAUAUCAUUUCAAUAAUCAUUUCAAUAAAUGAAGCCCUUCCUACAUCACCGUUGAUCGGAAGGCACGCCGACGGAGAAUUUCUGGAGAAUCGCGGUCGAAUUAAUACUAUAUUUAAAUCCCUAGAUAGCUAUCUUUCCGCAGCCGGCUGCCUAAGAUUUUUAAAAUUUCAACCGAUAAACAAAUUGCUUAUGGUCGCAUCACCUACCACAGUGAAUCCUGACCUCAUACCCAUCUUACUAACCCCUCAAAACUCAUGUGAUACUUUGUCGGAGACGCAGUCGAUUUGGCGGUCCCAUCACUCAAGUAUCGGACUAACAUUCCCAUCCACUUCCCCGUGUCUUACCUCUGGUCGUGGCCGGCGUCGGUAUUGAUCAGCAUGAUAGGGACCUUUGAAAAUUGCGAAGGGGUGAUGAUUCCCUGUUUGAAAAAUGUCGCACGUCGUACGAGUUGUCGCACGGUUGUGAUUUUACCGUUUUGAUAUCGAUUGGUCGAAAGGACGACAAACGGACGACAAACACUCGACAUGCUCGACAUGGUUUUUUUCAAUCGAUUUACCUUCAAUUCGACGUCGAUUAUCGUCGACGCAAACAGUUUGACAGUUCUCUUCUGUUGAUCUUGUUCGGACUUGAUUGCAACCGAGUCGAACCAGUUGUUGUUGCUUUUAGGCUUUUGGAGGAUUUUGGACAGUUAAUAGGCCGGAGUGGGCGAGCGACCGAAUCAAAGUGUCUUGUAUUCCAGAUUUCGGUCUUCGUGGCGGAGGAGGAGGAGGACGGGAAAUAUGGUUUACUCGGCGGGCCAUUCCGGAAGACGGGACGGGAAGGAACCAAUUUGCGAUCGUGGAAGCGGUUGGUGUUUGGUGUUUGGUGUUUUACCGUCCGCGGGAGGUUGCGACGCAUACCUAAUGGAACUGGCAACAAACAUAUUCCAAUCUGAUUCUGCCGGAAACCGAAAUGCGUUCCCGUGUGGUCACUCGUGGCUUCCGUAGAAUCCACGGAAGCAGCCCCGUUUUUUUCGUACUCGUACUCCACAAAACCCACGUUUCCUAGUACUCCGGUAAACAUCAAUCCGUCGGAGAUCCAAGAUCGUCGCCAAGGCGUCGCAUCCGGGUUUUGAUCAGCUCGUCGAGGAACAAAAGUCCAACUCUACCAAGAUGCUGCCACGGCCGCCUCAGAAGAACACCAACACCCAAGCCGGAAGCUGCGGUCAAGGCAAAUCCAGAAGGAAGCCAAGUUGGGGAAGAAUCGGCGAUCCGCAAGUAAAAUUAAGUGUACAAUUAAUAUUUUUGUGAAAUUUUGACAGCUGGAAUAAAAAAAAACAAUAAAAACAAAACAACAGUUUUUUCAACUGCAACAUAACCCAAAAAUCCGAAAUGACAGCACACGACAAUAGCACGACAUUCUAAAUAACAAAACCGUGCGACGUCGGUCGAAUGUCGUACGACAAUGUCGUACAAUUUCGAUUAUCGAUCGCACGACAAAUACGACAUUUUGGUGCAAAAACGUUUGACAUUCGUGCGAUAGUCGCGCGACAUUGUCGUGCGACGUCGUACGAUUGCACGGACGACAAACGACGGACGUCCGACGGACUUUUCAGUCAGG